rnacentral:rRNA from 4 species
UUGACCUCGGAUCAGGUAGGGAUACCCGCUGAACUUAAGCAUAUCAAUAAGCGGAGGAAAAGAAACCAACCGGGAUUGCCUCAGUAACGGCGAGUGAAGCGGCAAGAGCUCAAAUUUGAAAUCUGGCCCCUCCGGGGUCCGAGUUGUAAUUUGCAGAGGAUGCUUCGGGUGCGGCCCCUGUCUAAG